CCCUGCCAUUUGUACACACCGCCCGUCGCUCCUACCGAUUUCGAAUGGUCCGGUGAACCUUCUGGAGUGCUCGCAAGAGCGCGAAGUUAAGUAAACCUUAUCAUUUAGAGGAAGGAGAAGUCGUAACA
rnacentral:rRNA from 1 species